rnacentral:rRNA from 1 species
GAGUGAGCGGCAAAAGCUCAAAUUUGAAAUCUGGCGUCUUUGGCGUCGAGAUGUAAUUUGAAGAAGGUAUCUUUGGGCCCGGCUCUUGUCUAUGUUCCUUGGAACAGGACGUCACAGAGGGUGAGAAUCCCGUGCGAUGAGAUGACCCGGGUCUGUGUAAAGUUCCUUCUUCGAGUCGAGUUGUUUGGGAAUGCAGCUCUAAGUGGGUGGUAAAUUCCAUCUAAAGCUAAAUAUUGGCGAGAGACCGAUAGCGAACAAGUACAGUGAUGGAAAGAUGAAAAGAACUUUGAAAAGAGAGUGAAAAAGUACGUGAAAUUGUUGAAAGGGAAGGGCUUGAGAUCAGACUUGGUAUUUUGCAUGCUGCUCUCUCGGGGGCGGCCGCUGCGGUUUACCGGGCCAGCAUCGGUUUGGAGCGGCAGGAUAAUGGCGGAGGAAUGUGGCACGGCUUCUGCUGUGUGUUAUAGCCUCUGACGAUACUGCCAGCCUAGACCGAGGACUGCGGUUUUUACCUAGGAUGUUGGCAUAAUGAUCUUAAGUCGCCCGUCUUGAACCACGGACC